rnacentral:rRNA from 1 species
UGCCUACGGGAGGCAGCAGUGAGGAAUAUUGGUCAAUGGUCGGGAGACUGAACCAGCCAAGCCGCGUGAGGGAUGAAGGUACAGAGUAUCGUAAACCUCUUUUGUCAGGGAACAAAGGCGGGGACGUGUCCCCGGAUGAGUGUACCCGAAGAAAAAGCAUCGGCUAACUCCGUGCCAGCAGCCGCGGUAAUACGGAGGAUGCGAGCGUUAUCCGGAUUUAUUGGGUUUAAAGGGUGCGUAGGCGGACUGGAAAGUCAGCGGUAAAAUCGAGAGGCUCAACCUCUUUCCGCCGUUGAAACUGUCGG